rnacentral:rRNA from 1 species
AAGGGAAGUCGGCAAAAUAGAUCCGUAACUUCGGGACAAGGAUUGGCUCUAAGGGUUGGGUGCAAGAGUAAUGUUUUUUUAGCUAUUUC